GGGGGAAGGAAACCACGUAGAAAACGCAAACUGCAUUUCAGCAAGCGUGUGACACGUGCGCGGUCUGAAACCGGAACACUCGAGAUCAUCCACCCCUUCACUUCUCUGAGAGAGAGAGACAGAGCGCUAGCAGGGGAAGGUCAGAGAGACGGAGACAGAAUCUGAAGCAGACUCUAGGCUGUGAGCUUUCAGCACAGAGCCCGACGUGGGGCCUGAACUCUUGAGCAGUGAGGUCAUGACCUGAGCUGAAGAAAGACACUCAACCUACUGAGCCACUCAGGUGACUUCUCCGCAUGGGCUUGUUUGGAUUUCUUCCCAGCAUGAUGGUCUCCAAGCAAUUGGAGAGCUUACAUGGUGGCUCAGAGAUUUUGUGGAAGUGCUCCAGUGCUAAGCUGCGUUGUCUUUUAUGAUUCAGCUUUAGAAAUCAUAGUUACCUUUGCUGCAUUUUAUUGGUUGCCAGAGAGUCAUAAAACUGCCCAGAAUCGAGGAGAAGGAAAUAGGUCCCACCUCUUGAUGUGAAAAUAGCAAGAUUUGAGAAGAACAUGUAGAAUGGAAGAGAUUGCUGCACUACCUUUGGAAAAUACAAUCGGCCACCAAAUGGGCAGUCGUCAUUUGCAUCAUUCUAAAAGGCAGACAUUUUAUUAUUUUUUAAAGUAAUCUCUACCCCCAACAUGGGUUCAAACUCAUGACCCCGAGUCAAGAGUCACAUGCUCUACCCACUAAGCCAGCAAGACACCCCUGAAAGGCAGAAAUUUUAGUUACCACAGUUUAGUUAAA